AUAGUCCAGGGAAUUGUUACAGCAUCACAUAUACAGUCGAUGAGUAAAUUAGAAUCUCCUUCCAUUAUAAUAUGGUCGAGCCCUUGAAGGUACGCUGUAUGCAAUCCUUCUGGCAAAGAUGUACGUUGAAUUGAGUUCGUGGACACGUGGCAAGCUGAAAUUGGAAUUCAUAUGAAUAAGUUAUGGUCUACGGAAGUUUAUUUCUACGUCGAAGUUUUCGGAAAUUUAUAAAGAGCAAAAUUGACUAUUCACAAUGUUUGGUAUUUAAGGAACAAAUCCCUAGCCACUCGCUCAUUCCUUUUCUCUCUCUCGGCCGCACGGGUCUUUCUCUUUCUUACCCUCCUCAUCUUUCUGCUCUCGCCAGAGAUCACCACUUCCGGCCACCAUUUCACAACGCCACCGCCACCAGUCAAAUCCAGACUGAAACCCGAUCACAACCCAAGUCCAUUACCGCCAUAAAUCGAUCCCAGCCUCCGUACGCACACCGCAAAGCUCCAGUGCCACUGCCCCUCACCUUUCUUCAAUUUCCGACUGUCUCCUCGCUUCACCACCAUCUUGGCUCAACUCAGCAAGCAAGGAGGAGCAAAACUGAGGAGCCCCGUCACUCACCACUGCUGGACGACAACACAUGAACCAUUGUCAAAGCUCUUGGCCUUGCACUUCACUGUUCUUCAACCUCCGGUGAAAAUCUAGUCACACCACCACCAUAACUAGAGUCAAAAUUGCACGAACUACUAGAGCCCCAAAGUCCUGACCUCCGAUUCUGACCAGAGUCUCCGCACGCGCCGCUCCUGGCGCGUGCACCACCGUGGCUCCACCGCAGGAUUUGCCUGCUACCUUACUAGGUAAAUGAUCGUCCAUUGUCUUAUGUUGGAGCUGUUUGUUGAUGUGGAAUGAAAACCCUAAUUUGAUAACUUGUUCUGGAUUGUGUGAGGUUUGUGAGAUUCGACGUUUUGGAGUCUUGGAGAAAGCGGGUCGAUCGGCGGGUUCAGUCUGUUUGAUAUUGAAGAAUGACUUUAUUGAAAUUGUCAAAAUGGUGAAAAAGAGUAGUUGUUCAAGGAUUACGAUUUCGUUGUUGUCCACUCUAAUUAUCGUUCCAAAUAUUAUGAUUGUAAGAAGCAUGUUUGUCAUUGACAAAGAAAGCGUAAAUCGGCCAAGUCCAUAUGAUUUUGGUAAUGGCAAGGAAUAAGUAUGAUUUGACUUAAUGUAAA